GGCCCAGUGGUACUCGGAGUGCGUCUGCUUAUAAUUUGAGGUUGCAGAAGUCUAUGCAGAACAUCCUGGUUCGACUCCGGGAUGGGUCG